AGUUUCAUCAGAGUGCUGCCUGAUGCCUGAUAUUAUAUAGGGUGGUCAAGGAAGAAUUUCCUGAAGUCUGAGCAAAGGCCUGAAGGAAGCAAGGGAAAGAGGCAUGUAGGGAAGAGUAAUCCAGGCAGAAGGAAGGUCAAGCUGACAUCCAUGAGCUGACAGCCUGAGAGUGACCACGAGGUGGCAGCACAGGAGACACUCAGCCUUGAAUUCAACUUGUACUCGCCUGACUAGAGGAGUAAGCCGGGGAAAGGUAACAAUGGUCCAGAAAGCAAGAGAAACUCCAAAGCAUCAACACCAAAAUGGAAAUCAAGAUAAGAAUCCAAAGCAGAAGGUGGCACAAGCAAGGAGGCAGCAGAAGGGGCAGAGCCCAGAGGCCACAGUGUGUGAUGGGAGAGACCUCUGGCUGAGCCUGUGAGGAAAGGGCUGAGAAAGGGUCUAACACCAGGUCUCAACUCUAGUUUAAUGGAUGAUAUGUGAAUUGCUGGCCAAAAUGUUAAGUAUUAGUAUUUUAUUAAUAGAUUUUAUGUAUUCACCAAAAAACUUGGUAAUAGUCCCAACACAUCUGCCAGUCAUAUACUUUAAAUGCCUCACAUAGAUGGAUGGCAAUGAACUGAGCAGACCAAAAUUUUCCGUCCUAAUUUAACUCAGGCCUGGCAUCUGGGUAGGGUCUAUAUAGAGGAUUAGCACAUUAUAAACCUAUGUUGUUUUUGCCUGUUCCCUCAACUGGAGCCAUGCUCUUUACAUCCCAUCCAACUUUGAAACAUGGAGGCCCUUUCCUUUCUCAGACCAUCCCAGUCCCAGUGGAACAAGCUGAAGCACUCCAACUCAAUGGAACCGCUGCUUUAAACAACUCUCAAGACACUACUCAUAAUAAGCCUGGAGUUCUUUGAGCAUUUGAAAAUUCAUGUUCAUGCACAUCUUCAGAUAUUCUCUCUUUGGAGGACCAUGAAAAGCCCUGUCAUGUUGGUUACCAAGAUCACAAGUGGCCUGUAAUUAUUGAAUAGUGAUGUUCUUGGCAAGGGCCAAGCCAUUAAAAACCAGCUGUCUUAUAAAAUGCAAGCUCUCUGCCGUCCCUGGAAACUUCUUUGAGGAUGUCUAAGAAAUAUUAUUAUCAUUUAAACCUACAGUAGGUUUGGUGUAUCUACCAAAGGGAAAGGACUGGGUCUGCCCUCCGGCCAUCAUGAAACCAACACAUACGUUUCCAAACAUAAAAGAAUGA